CCUACGGGUGGCAGCAGUAGGGAAUAUUGCUCAAUGGGGGAAACCCUGAAGCAGCAACGCCGCGUGGAGGAUGAAGGUUUUCGGAUUGUAAACCCCUUUUGUUAGAGAAGAUAAUGACGGUAUCUAACGAAUAAGCACCGGCUAACUCCGUGCCAGCAGCCGCGGUAAUACGGAGGGUGUAAGCGUUACUCGGAAUCACUGGGCGUAAAGAGCGCGUAGGCGGGAUAGCAAGUCAGAUGUGAAAUCCUAUGGCUUAACCAUAGAACUGCAUUUGAAACUGUUAGUCUAGAGUAUGGGAGAGGUAGGUGGAAUUCUUGGUGUAGGGGUGAAAUGCGUAGAGAUCAAGAGGAAUACUCAUUGCGAAGGCGACCUACUGGAACGUAACUGACGCUGAGGCGCGAAAGCGUGGGGAGCAAACAGGAUUAGAUACCCCAGUAGUC
rnacentral:rRNA from 1 species